GACGAACGCUGGCGGCGUGCUUAACACAUGCAAGUCGAACGAUGAAGCCGGAGCUUGCUCUGGUGAAUUAGUGGCGAACGGGUGAGUAACACGUGAGUAACCUGCCCUGACUCUGGGAUAACUGCUAGAAAUGGUAGCUAAUACCGGAUACGACCCUCGGAGGCAUCUCCAGGGGGUGGAAAGAAUUUCGGUCAAGGAUGGACUCGCGGCCUAUCAGCUAGUUGGUGAGGUAACGGCUCACCAAGGCGACGACGGGUAGCCGGCCUGAGAGGGUGACCGGCCACACUGGGACUGAGACACGGCCCAGACUCCUACGGGAGGCAGCAGUGGGGAAUAUUGCACAAUGGGCGCAAGCCUGAUGCAGCAACGCCGCGUGAGGGAUGACGGCCUUCGGGCCGUAAAGCUCUUUAGGCUGGGAAGAAGUGUGUAUGAGGAAAUGCGUACACGUUGACUGUACCAGCAGAAUAAGCACCGGCAAACUCUGUGC
rnacentral:rRNA from 1 species